AGGAGGGCUGGAAGGACCAGGAGAACUGGGUUCCUCCUCCUGCGCGAAUUGUGCGCGCUACACCUGCAGGAACGAGAAGGGGGUGAGGUUUGAGGAUAGUUUGUUGGAGGACGAGGUCCAUUUGUGUCAGCACAUACAGUGUCUUCAACGCCAGGUGGUUCAUCUGAAGAAGGAAACUGAAAGCACGCAGGAGGCGAGGGAAGCGCAGCGUAGCGCGCUCAGCAAGCUUGCCGAAGCUCAACGUGAAAUAAAGCAACUUAGG